rnacentral:misc_RNA from 1 species
GCUGCUUUCUGGUAGCGGUAGAAGUUCAUCAAAUGAGGUACAGCUAAGCUGCUACGAUACCAUAUUCAAAGCACCCAUACCUGAAGAUACACGCGCAUACCAUUUGCAGGAUGCUGUGUCACUUUUUACAUCUUACCUUUCUGAGGUGUCGUCAUAGCUCUCUUUUUCAAGCCCCAUAACUCGAUUUUAACAACGAAAUUUUGUAUGUUUAUACGUCAUAAAAAUGUCAACAUUUG